rnacentral:lncRNA from 1 species
GGCAGGGCCACGUCGCGCCGCUGAUGCAGCUGGCGCGCCUCCUCCACGCCCGGGGCGCGCGCGUCACCUUCGUCUACACCCAGUACAACUACCGCCGCCUCCUGCGCGCCAAGGGCGAGGCCGCCGUCAGGCCCCCCGCCACCUCCUCCGCGAGGUUCCGCAUCGAGGUCAUCGACGACGGCCUCUCCCUCUCCGUGCCGCAGAACGACGUCGGGGGGCUCGUCGACUCCCUGCGCAAAAACUGCCUCCACCCGUUCCGCGCCCUGCUGCGCCGCCUGG